UACGAAGGGGGCAAGCGUUGUUCGGAAUUACUGGGCGUAAAGGGCGCGUAGGCGGCUUAUCAAGUCAGGCGUGAAAUUCCCGGGCUCAACCUGGGAACUGCAUCCGAUACUGGAUGGCUUGAAUUCGGGAGAGGGAUGCAGAAUUCCAGGUGUAGCGGUGAAAUGCGUAGAUAUCUGGAGGAAUACCGGUGGCGAAGGCGGCAUCCUGGACCGACAUUGACGCUGAGGAGCGAAAGCCAGGGGAGCAAACGGG
rnacentral:rRNA from 1 species